UUUUUUUUUUUUUUUUUUUUUUUUAGCCUGCGGCUCCAAAUUCCUCUGUGUUCCUCUGGUAAAUCAACCCUGAAGUCCUACAGGCCAUGUGGUCAGGUUUACCACAGCGAUGGCCUCAUUCUUGGUACCAGUUUUCUGGACCAGCCACUUUUCCUGUUGCUGUGACAAAAGCCUAACAGAACAAUUUAAGGAAAAGGGGACUCAUUGUUGGACAGCUUCACAGGAAGGCACGGUCAUUGAAGCUGAUCCAUCUCUGGGAACUUCCGGUGUGACUUGUUCCAUCUUUGUAGACAGCUUGCCAGAGACCUUGGCCUUGAACUGGAAGUGGGUUUCACUUUCAAAGCAUGACUCAAGAGACCACUUUUUCUAGCUAGGUCACACCUGCUAAAAGUUCCAAAACAGUCAUGUGGAGACACAUGAAUCUGUUGGGGAACAGUCAGAUAUAAACUGUAACAGUGCUACUUCUAGUCUUUCCACAACACAUUAUGUCUUCUUUUUUUUCUAGUCCACCAGUUGAAUGAAGAACUGAAGAUACAAUAGUUGGCCCCAGGUCCCUAAAUAGCUGGGCAGAAUAGAAUUCCCAGAUCUUUCUGAUUAUGUGGGCAUGUGUUGAGAAAUGUGAUUUUUUUUUGGGGGGGGUGAAUGUUGGAAAUAGAAUGCAUUUGUUACAGCAACGUCUACCUUUUGCCUUAACUGCUGUAGGGAUUUUUGAAUGCCUCUGCUCCUAUCAUGCACAGUUCUUCAGCUAGGAGACUGGGACAAGAAUUAUUAUUGACCCAUUCUAGUAAUCAUUAUAAUUCUUAUUGUUUCCUGUUAGUAAAUUACCUUGGAGGUUCUGCUAUCAUUUUAAGAUUUUGAAAAAAGAAUCACUGGGUUCUUCAUCCUAAAAGCUUUUAAAAAUUAAACAUAAAACUUUGAAUUAUAAAUUUGUAUUGUAAACAUAGGACUUUAUUAGAUAAGGCUAGUGUAGAGUGUUGAUACUGAUGCAUUCCUGAAGGCCACAUGGUUAUGUGUCUGGCAUUCAGUAGUUUCUUUAUACACACACACACACACACACACACACACACACACACACACACACACACAACCACAUGAUAGAUACUGGAAACGGAAUGAUAAAUGAGACUGAUUUAAGUUUUAACUGUCACAUAUAGAAUCACAUAUUCCCAGGGUGACCAUGUGUGACAUUUGUGAAGUCACUUUGCUUAAAAACAAGGACAAUGCUGCUGGUGUGCUCUGGGCUAGUGUACCCUCAGGGUCUAAGUGAGAUUAGCUGUGUGAUAAAGUGACUUCCCCAUACUGCUGAACUAGUGUGUGUCUUUACAAAGAGUUAACAAUCAUUCUGGUAGGCCAUUUAAAAAUGGCAAUUUCCAAAGAGAAAGCCUAAUUCUGUCUAUAAAUGGGUGUAUCUGAACUUCUCUGCCCUUGUUUUGAUUGUACUAGAGAUACUGAGUUAACCUUAUAUACUCUACAAAGAUAAUUUCAUAAGAAUAUUCUUAGCUAGUUAUCACUUCUCUUAGGCUAAUAACCAGGACUGGAAUCCCUGUAUUAUGGGAUAGAUAUGUGUUUAACUUGUUAAGAAACUGCCACUUUAGGCCCUCAUUAGGAAUGUUUGAGAGAUGACUCCUUGUCUCACCAACUGAUUUUGUAUUAGUUUGCAGCUGAAUCAACAAAGAAACGAGGAUCAACAGUUCCCAGUUCUGGAGGCUGAUGGUCUCUGAUUAAUCGCAUAGCCCAUUUAGUCCAGCUUCUGUGGCUCAUGGUGUCAAAACAGGUCACAUCAAGGCAGAAGCCAGAGGGAUUCAGCUAUGAGGCCUGCUGUUUUGCUUUGUUUUGUUUUACUUUCUUUAAUAUAAUAAACAAAACUGGCUCUCUCAAGGAUGGAAUGAUAAAUACAGUAAUCUGAUUAUCUUGCAGUAGAUAAUUUGUCUACCUGUUAAUGAUUCUGCUUCUUGGACUACGUCCCAGUAGAUGCCAUGCUUUCAGCCUGAUGAAUGUCAAAAUGGCUGAACACUGUUGAAAAGAUGCCUCAUCACUGAGUCAUCUUUGCAAGUACCUUGUGGAAGAGCAAGUGACCACAAAUGUGAACGUGGAGACACUGGCUGUGAAGAUACACAUUUAUUUCUCUGCCUACAAGAAAGAAUAGAAAUAAAGAAACCAAAGUGAACGUGGGCUUUCUGAAGAAUAAUUUUCUUUCAUGCAGUCUGCAGAUACUGAAGUCUGCUGUCUCCUCCCCCGCCACCUCCCCCUUGCCAGUAACUGCAGCUGCUGAGAUACAACUUCUAAUGCUUCAGAGCCAUCCUGCCAUGUCUGCCCCACCCUGAUGGACUAAAAUUUCUGAAACCAGGAGUCAAAUUAAACUUUUUUUCCCCUC